rnacentral:rRNA from 1 species
UAAGGAAUCUUCCACAAUGGGCGAAAGCCUGAUGGAGCAACGCCGCGUGCAGGAUGAAGGCCCUCGGGUCGUAAACUGCUUUUAUGAGUGAAGAAUAUGACGGUAACUCAUGAAUAAGCACCGGCUAACUACGUGCCAGCAGCCGCGGUCAUACGUAGGGUGCAAGCAUUAUCCGGAGUGACUGGGCGUCACGAGUUGCGUAGGCGGUUAGUAAAGCGAAUAGUGAAACCUGGUGGCUCAACCAUACAGACUAUUAUUCGAACUCACUAACUCGAGAGUGGUAGAGGUAACUGGAAGUUCUUGUGUAGGAGUGAAAUCCGUAGAUAUAAGAAGGAACACCAAUGGCGUAGGCAGGUUACUGGACCAUUUCUGACGCUAAGGCACGAAAGCGUGGGGAGCGAACC